rnacentral:rRNA from 1 species
GACGAACGCUGGCGGCGUGCUUAACACAUGCCAGUCGAACGGAAAGGCCCUGCUUUUGUGGGGUGCUCGAGUGGCGAACGGGUGAGUAACACGUGAGUAACCUGCCCUUGACUUUGGGAUAACUUCAGGAAACUGGGGCUCAUACCGGAUAGGAGCUCCUGCUGCAUGGUGGGGGUUGGAAAGUUUCGGCGGUUGUGGAUGGACUCGCGGGUUAUCAGCUUGUUGGUGGGGUAGUGGCUUACCAAGGCUUUGACGGGUAGCCGGCCUGGGAGGGUGACCGGCCACAUUGGGACUGAGGUAGGGCCCAGACUCCUACGGGAGGCAGCAGUGGGGAGUAUUGCGCAAUGGGCGGAAGCCUGAUGCAGCAACGCCGCGUGCGGGAUGACGGCCUUCGGGUUGUAAACCGCUUUCGCCUGUGACGAAGCGUGAGUGACGGUAAUGGGUAAAGAAGCACCGGCUAACUACGUG